GGACAGAUGGCCGAGUGGUUAUGGCGUGUGACUCAAGAUAUUAUCUUGUCAGCUAAACGCUGAAACAAUUCUCAUGGGCUUCGCCCGCAGGGGUUCGAAUCCCCUUCUGUUCA
rnacentral:tRNA from 1 species